rnacentral:sRNA from 1 species
AGUUGCCUGAGGACAGCAGUGCAGUUGACAUGGAUAUUCUCUUUCCUCUGCACAGUGUUAUUGGUACAGAGCUGUGCCCCAGCUCCAUUCCCCAGAUCAUCCAUUUCGUCCUCUUUGUUGUGUUCAGCCUGGUGAUCCUGAUUAUCUUACGCCUCUACAUUCCCAGGGAGCCGUCCUCAGUGCCUCCCAGAGAGGACAGCGAGAAUGAUCAAGCUGAAGUGGGGGAAUGGCUCAGGAUCGGAAAUAAAUAUAUCACUUUGAAAGGUAAGGCUCUGAGGGUCCCAGAAGCCCCAGAGAUGACAGCUUCACCUGUCCCUAGGAACAAGCACCAAGUCUUCUAGGAAGUCAUCUGCAGAGGCCUGAUGGGGAAGCUCCUGGCAGGGCAAUUGGAACCCGGGAUCCGUCUCCGAUUCCCUGCUGGGAUGAAGCCAUGGGGUCCAGGGAGCGGGUGUUGCCCAGGAGGGGACCAGUGACCAUCUGGACGUGCAGGAGGGGAUGCAGGUCCAUGUGGGCAGCUGUUUAACAUGGCUGAGCCCUCUCUGAGGCCACCCCAUCCUCUCUCCCCAG